rnacentral:rRNA from 1 species
GACGAACCGUCCAAACGUUAUUCGGAAUUACUGGGCUUAAAGGGUGCGUAGGCGGCGCGGAAAGUUGGGUGUGAAAUCCCUCGGCUCAACCGAGGAACUGCGCCCAAUACUACCGUGCUCGAGGGAGAUAGAGGUGAGCGGAACUUAGGGUGGAGCGGUGAAAUGCGUUGAUAUCCUAAGGAACACCGGUGGCGAAAGCUGCUCACUGGAUCUCUUCUGACGCUGAGGCACGAAAGCUAGGGUAGCGAACGGG